rnacentral:rRNA from 1 species
AUGUCUUCGCCGAGCAGAGUGGGAGGAGGAGUUCAGGUAGGUGAUUGCAGUGCUCAUAAUGGUACACCAAUUGGCUCUUGUUGUCCUGGUGGUAAGGAUCAUGGUGGUGAGGGAGGACAUCAAGUGAAUUCGCCAAUUGAAUCUUCUCCCAUAAGUGUGGCCCCUCCUUCUGUGUCUGUUUUCCAUGCUGGGGCGCCUAGGUUUGAGGAGGUUACUCAAUUGAUUGACCAUUAUUUUGUAGAGGGUGAUGUUGGUGUGAGCUCUGACCAGAGACGGCCCGUCUUGUCUGAAACACAAUCGCAGUCUGUUGGUGGUAUAGAGGAAGUUACACAGGAUUGGAUGGUCUCGGAACAACUUCGUGCAUAUGAAUUGAAGCAAAGCAGGAAGAAGUUGAGGUUUGAAAGUGACUCAAAAGAGUUUGCAGAGAAGGAGAAGCAGAGGAGAGCUGCAGAUGGUGCCAAGGGUGCCAAAUUUGCCAAGAAUCUUGGGAAGAGAACUGCUGAAGCUGGUGGAAAGGAUCCUCAACGCAAGCGACUACAUGUCACUGAAGGUCCCAACUCUGACGAUGACGACUUUGUGCUUGCUGAUUUUGUGAGGGAUGUUCAUACUAGUAGACGCAAAGACUGUGGUUCAUCUAAGAGUCUACCCAAGCAUGCCCGUGAUGAUGUCGAUGAAGAUGUUGGUGCUGACUCUGGCGAGGAGGCGGAUGUUGUUCCAAAGAGGAAGAAGUAUAGUAAGAGCAAUGCAACUGAAGAUGAUGCCGAGGGAGAUGAUUCUCGAUUUAACAAGACCGUAUGUUUGUCGCUUCCCAUUGUUUGCAAGGCUACUGCUUUAUUGAAAGAGGCACACUGUAGUCAUGUUCGGGAUGCUGGAUUCGGUGUUUUCUUUGAACUGACAGUAAAGAAAAAUGUGUCGCAUAUUCUUAUGUGCUAUCUGAUGGGAGUGAUUGACCCUGCCACCAUGAUAAUGGACUUUGGGAAUGGCAGGGUUCUUAAAAUCAAUCGUGAUGUAGUUCAUCACAUUUUUGAUUUACCUAUGGGACGUCACACUACACCCAUGCCUGUUGCCAGCGGCCAUGAUGACUCGUUGACUGCCCUCAAGGAUGAGCUUGGCUUUGACCGUUCAAAAAGUAUAGGUGUCAAGGACUUGCUUGAGAAGUUGAAGGUGUUGGUGGAGGAAGAUGAUCAUGUGACUAUUGACCUUGCUGUGAAGGACCUGAUGAAGUUAUACAAUGAGGAUGUGCUUGUGAAGGGAAAGAUUUACUUGGAAACUUACAAAUUUGGCAAGCUGUCGUGGAAGGCGUCAGGUGAUAUUGUGUACAACCGUCCUGUUACAGUUGUAUGUGGCAGCUCUGAUGCGGGGCCUAUCACUCAUGCUAGGUUUUAUGAGCCUAUUUGUAGCCAGCUUCCUGCCUAUGAUGAUGAGGUGCCGCGUACUCGUGGUUUCAUGGCUCGACAGAUGUUUGAUAAUAGAAGCUCUCCUAAACAGACAUUUGUUGGCGGCAAAAAACACGAGGAGAUUGAUGAGCUUCUUCUGAAGGUUUUGAAGUUGACUGAAGAUUUGCCAACCUCUGGUGACAGGUUGAGGAUAGUUGCUGUUUUUUCCCUGUUGGCCAUGGCCCACGAGAUGAAGAUAUUGUUGCCGCUCACAAUUUUGAUUGCGGCGUGA